rnacentral:rRNA from 1 species
CGGACAAAACGGGUGAGGAAACAUGUAACGACAACACUUUCCUUUAAACUGGACGGAUAGACCCCUACGAAAGAGGGAUUAAUACUCCGUAAGAUAAUGAAGUGGCAUCACUUUAUUAUUAUAGCUCCGGCGGUUAAAGAUGGGCGUGCAACUGAUUAGGUAGUUGGCGGGGUACCCGCCCACCAAGCCUGCGAUCAGUAACUGGUGUGAGAGCACGACCAGUCACACGGGCACUGAGACACGGGCCCGACUCCUACGGGAGGCAGCAGUAAGGAAUAUUGGUCAAUGGACGCAAGUCUGAACCAGCCCAUGCCGCGUGGAGGAUUAAGGCCCUCUGGGUUGUAAACUCCUUUUAUCUGGGAAGAAAUGUUUCGAUUCUUCGGAACUUGACGGUACCAAAGGAAAUAAGC